GACGGAGGGGGCUAGCGUUGUUCGGAAUUACUGGGCGUAAAGAGCGCGUAGGCGGCUUAGUAAGUUGGGAGUGAAAGCCCGAGGCUUAACCUCGGAAUUGCUUUCAAAACUGCUAGGCUAGAGUAUAGUAGAGGGUGAUGGAAUUCCUAGUGUAGAGGUGAAAUUCUUAGAUAUUAGGAGGAACACCAGAGGCGAAAGCGAUCACCUGGGCUAUAACUGACGCUGAUGCGCGAAAGCGUGGGGAGCAAACAGG
rnacentral:rRNA from 1 species